UACAUCAUAGUGUAUGAUGCACAUAAAUUUUUGAUGUUUAUAGGAGUAGUUUAAUUCUACUAGGUGUAG
rnacentral:tRNA from 1 species